rnacentral:rRNA from 1 species
UACAGAGGUGGCAAGCGUUGUUCGGAAUUACUGGGCGUAAAGGGCGCGUAGGCGGCCGCCUCAGUCAGACGUGAAAUCCCCAAGCUUAACUUGGGAGCUGCGUCUGAUACUGGGUGGCUUGAGUUCGGGAGAGGAAUGUGGAAUUCCAGGUGUAGCGGUGAAAUGCGUAGAUAUCUGGAGGAACACCAGUAGCGAAGGCGGCUCGCUGGGCCAGCACUGACGCUCAUGCACGAAAGCGUGGGGAGCAAACAGG